rnacentral:rRNA from 1 species
GCGUGAGGUAAGAGCAUCUGGUGGAUGCCUUGGCAUGUACAGGCGAUGAAGGACGUGGCACGCUGCGAUAAGCGUCGGGGAGCCGUGAGCAGGCUUUGAUCCGACGAUUUCCGAAUGGGGAAACCCACCUUCACCAUUUCUCUCGACCGUUGGUUCGCCAAUGAUUGAGUGAGGUGGAUAAGGUAUCCCAAGUUGAAUACAUAGACUUGGUGAAGCGAACCCGGGGAACUGAAACAUCUAAGUACCCGGAGGAAAAGACAUCAACCGAGAUUCCGUUAGUAGUGGCGAGCGAAGGCGGACCAGGCCAGUGCCUCAUCUUCAGUUAGCAGAACGACUUGGAAAGGUCGACCAUAGUGGGUGACAGUCCCGUAUGCGAAAACGAUAGAUGAGGACUCGAGUAGGGCGGGACACGUGAAAUCCUGUCUGAACAUGGGGGGACCACCCUCCAAGCCUAAAUACUCGUACAUGACCGAUAGCGAACACAGUACCGUGAGGGUGUAGGCGCAGCGAAAGCGAGUCUGAACAGGGCGACUGAGUAUGGUGUAUUAGACCCGAAACCCGGCGAUCUAGGCAUGACCAGGUUGAAGGUGCGGUAACACGCACUGGAGGACCGAACCGUUGAAUGUUGAAAAAUUCUCGGAUGAGUUGUGUUUAGGGGUGAAAGGCCAAUCAAGCCGGGAAAUAGCUGGUUCUCCGCGAAAUCUAUUGAGGUAGAGCGUCGAAUGAUUGCCGUUGGGGGUAGAGCACUGGAUGGAUGCGGGGGUCGCGAGAUCUACCAAUUCUAACCAAACUCCGAAUACCAACGAGACUAGUUCGGCAGACAGACGGCGGGUGCUAAGGUCCGUCGUCAAAAGGGAAACAGCCCUAACCUACAGCUAAGGUCCCCAAGUCAUCACUAAGUGGGAAA